ensembl:snRNA U1 U1 spliceosomal RNA
AUUCUUACCUGACAGGAGAGAUACCAUGAUCACGAAGGUGGUUUUUCCAGUACAAGGCUGAUCCAUUGCACUCCAGAUGUGCUGAUCCCUGAAAUUUCCUCAAAUUCUGGAAAUUCAACUGCAUAAUUUGUGGUAGUUAGGGACUGUGUUCGUGCUCUCCCCGG